CCGAAAUCCUAUCAUUCCUCAUGGUCUACAGUUCAGGAAGCUUCGGGAACAUGUGGCACCUCUACAAUGGAAACAGAUCAGUCAGCAUCAGCAUCUUCAGAUGCGUUCCUGGAACCCUGCUGUCUGAAAGUUAACCCUGUGAAGGGCCCUCAAGCAGACCCUCUGCAGAAGUCUUGUGGUGUCCCUGCAGCCUGUUCAUCCGCCUUCCGUCGGCCUCGGGAUCUCCUGGAGGGAAAACUAGCUCCAAGCAGGAAAGAAGAAGGGAGAACUCUGAAGGGCAUGACAGCGACCCAGCUUACAGUCCAGACAAUAUUUGAAGGAGAGCCACGUCUUAUCAUUUGAAUUCUCCGUGGAGCCUUCCAAGUGCCAAAACACUGAGGACAGGACUGCGCCUUGGUAACUGUGUGUCACUAUGGACUCUGUGGUACAGGGAGAUGGCUCUGGCCAUUUGCCUUUGAAGGUGAAGUUCUCCUUUUCCAGAUGGUUUUCACACAGGGCGGUAGGGGAUUUCUUAUUGUUUCCUCUUCCACCCUAUCCCCGACCCUCGUCACCAGGCAGCCCCGCCAUAUUAGCUCAGAAGAUCCAUAAAGGGGCAAGAGCCCCUGUUCCCUCCCCUCUGCUCGCAGGGGUUAUUAGUUCAAUAGAGUCGAGCUAGGACAUAGGGGUGACCUUGGGAAGGGGCACUUGGUGACUAAGCAAGAAUGGGCACCGGAGUUUCUACUCACCACACCCAGCUUGCAGGGGAGGCUGGCUCACAAACCACCCUCAGGGUGACCUUGGAGGUCUGCAGACUCAGUUCUCAUGGCGUCUAGACCCAUACCUGUCAAGGAAACAGUAACUUCCAAACUUAAUGGACGGUUUAUGGAGGUAACAUAUAGACAUGAAGGAGAACACUGAGCUGUCCCCCAAGGGGGAACCCCAGGCAAAGGUCCCAUCCCUUCCUUUCUGCAUACAGCUGAGUUCUGGGUCCCACCAAGGACAGAACUCCCCUUCCUUGUUGGCUAUGAAAAUUUCUUAUCUCUUGUAUAAAGGGAGGGGUGAUGGCAAAUGUCUCUAAAUCCUAAGUUCCCCUAUGACCACAGUCCCCUUCCAACCUUCUUCUAAAGCACGUCUGUUAAGGGAUGGAGAUGUCGCUCAAUUGGUAAGGUGCUUGCCUAGCAUGCACGGAGAGCCCAGGGUUCCCUUCUGCGAUGCUUCAGAAAAACAGGUGUGGUGGUGCAUCCUUGUAAUCCCAGGACUUGGGAAACACGUGGGCAGGCCACAUCUGAGUCCGUGGUAGCCAGUGUGUCCACUCUGGCCCUGGAAAUGUGGUGCUAGAAUUAUAAUAUGUGCUGAAUUUCUGUAGAAGUGUCCCGAGUUGCACCUAUAAUGACUGUCCCAAGCCACAUUCAACAAGAGAUGGCACAAACGGGUAGAAGAGACAGAAGUUGAGAAAGUGCAGGCUCUUGAAGAACCAAAGACCUAGGAUGAAAAGUAAUCCUACAUCCAUUGUAAAGGGGGCGCUAGGCCUCUAGGAGCCCACUCAAGACAUUAAUAUAGAAAGGUAUAAAGACACCCCCUUGCUGAUCUUGGCAGCACGCACCUGUAAUCCUAGCACUUAGGAGAUAGAGGUGAGGCAGGGCACUCAAGAGUUCAAAGUCAUCCUUGGCUACAAAGUGCGUUUGAGGCUAGCCUGGACAACAUACUUGAUAUCCUUUCUCAAAACAACCAAAAAAAAAAAAAAAAAACCCUGUUUAAACCCCAUGCUGUGUUUCUCACUGCCCUACUCCCUACUUCUGAGGUUACCAGCAGGGCUCCCGGCUGUUCCUUUGAGCCAGCUGUGUCUUCAUUGAGGUCCCUGACUGUCCUUCUGUCAUCCCCGUCUGUCUGAGAGACUCUCCUACCUGAUUUGGAAGUGCUUUCAGUAACUUGUGGGUCCCAGGCAGUGCUCUCAUUGAAUCUUCUCAACAAGCUUUGGAAUAAGUCUUUUGUGGGCCUCCUGUUACAACUGAGGGGAAUAGAUGUGGAGAGAGAACGUUGCUCAGCAACUUCUGAGUCGAGGAACGAGAACUAAACCAUCUCUGGAACCGUGACGUCAGAAGUCCUGGUGUUGGGUUGCGGAAGUUUCACUUCCAUUUGCUGGGAUAAAGCAGCCCCCUUGCUGGACUCUGUGGCCUUUUGGAAAUGGUACUGCUUCCACAAUCUCUUCUUCAGCUUGCCCAAACCUAUCUAAUGCUUUACAGGAACAUAUGUGCCCAUGAGAGACGUGAGCUUCCUACCAGCAGACACUAGCAUAUCUGCUGUGGGAAUUGAGGAGAUUCUUGAGUUGGGGUAGGUUCAAGAGCCUCUGGUUAUACCAUCAACUCUGCAAGUCGGGGAUUGUUAUGGUUUAUUUCUGCUCCACUACGUCUGGGACCUCCACUAGACUGGCUGGAAACAGUGGACAUGGUCCGAAUAGGGCUUUAUGUCUGGAGCCUUCGUUCUGUCUGCCAGCUGGGUUCCUCUUCUCCCUGUGAUGUCAUCUGGGGCUCAGAUGUCUGAAGUGGCUCUGGCACGCAGGUCCCUAGUACCUCUACCUUCUUUUAUGUGUCCACUCUCUUCAGAAGAGUAGCUUCAUCCUACACUGUCUGGGCUGUCAGAGCACACACUAUCUAUAUCCUUUUCCACUGCAAUCCGCUUUGCCUAGUCUACUUCUAGCCAGUGCUACCUAGACGGCAGUGCCAUAUACUGCACGAUUCGGCUUCUGUGUGUGCAUACUGUUCUCUGAACCUGAAUCUAAUACAGACUGGCCAGACUCAAAAAUGGAAGGAAAUCCAAUCAGGCCAGUUAGUUUCUCCUCCUGCCACCCUACCCCACUUGAACUCUGAACCUAAGUCAGACCGACUGAGAGUAUGUAACAUGGUGAGUAGUAGGGCUUUGAUGGUCUAAUGUUCUGACCAAAAUCACAGUGAAGGAGAAAGCUAGUGAGAAAGUUAUGAUACGGAGAAAAUCCACUUACUGUGGAAGAAGAGAAAGUAAACCUUUCUUUGGAACAUAGGAAAAGAAGAGACUGCUUAGAGUAAGGUCAUGCUCCUGAGCUACCCUCCGGCCCUGGAGCUGUAGCCAGCCCGUCUUCACAGCGAUGCCGUGUGGAUCACUGUACCAAGCUUGUGUUUUUUGCUUUUGCUGUUGAUUGACGUAGUCGUGGUCAUGUGAUUCAAUUCUGCUAAUACACUUAUGGACAGAUGUUUGGGGUCACCUUGAGUCCAUGAGGCAACAAGACCAAGAGGAGAGAGACAGCCAGCUGGGGAUGACAGGACAGGCGAUGAGCAAAAGGGGCCUGGGGCCCCCAGUGGCAUCAUUGAGUCACAGUGCCUACCCUGGAACCGUCUCCUUCCAGCCUGACUGCUGUAGGAGCCUACUGUCUCCUGGGUCCCAUCCUUCUCUUGAGGCCUGAAACAUUUCUAAGCUCUUCAUAAAAUGUCCCUGCCUUCACUGCUACGCUGUGGGUGCUGUAGGUCUUUCUUAUGGCUCUAAAUGAAGAAAAUACCCAGGUUGCUUUUCUUCCUAAGUGCUAGCGACAGGAAUCCUGCUGAGAUGGUAGGAAAUGGACAGGAGGAACAACAAAGAGGCAGGUUCAUCCCGGCCGAAAGGAUAACCCCAGUGAUUGGCCCCCAACGCUCCUCAGAGCCAGCGGACACAGACCCGGAAAGAGAAAUAAUUCUGGAAAUGUCCACAUGCCCAAGUCUUCUCAGACAGAGCUGAGGAAUAACUUUUAGAAAAAACAUUGCUGGGGGCAGGGGGGAAGUAUUAAUGCCUAAGAACCAGAGCCCGAAGAGUGAGUGAGAAGGCAGGUUAGGCAGGGCAUGGGUAAAUUCUUAGACAGUGACUAUGGCUGGCUGUUGGGGACAAUGAAUUGGAGCAAUUUGUUGCAGCAGGAGCCAGCAGGUGCAAAGGUGUCGCCCUCAGGAGACAGCCUUGGUGUUGUUUGAAAAUGGCCCUCUUGGGAGGAGGGCAGUGCUAAAUGGUACUUGCUGGCCUUCUCUGUGCUCCAUGGGCCGGCUUCCUUCCUUACCUCCCCUCCCCCCUACCCACGUUCCUUUCUCGCAGCACCUUGUGGGACGAGCUUGAGGCUGGGGACCGGACGGGAUGGGACUCAGUUGGCAGAGUGCUUGCCUAGCAGGCAUGAAGCCCUGGCUUAGAGUCCCAGCACCGCAUGAACUAGGUAUGGUGGAGCGCACUUGUAAUCAGUCCUACCCUUGGGAAGUGGGGGUCGGAAGUAAAUCCAAGAUCUUCAGAGAGGCUGAACUCAAGCCCUGGCUCUUCCUCUUGGAAACUCUUGUUUUCUAAAUUUAAAAAAAAAAAAAAAAAAAAAAAAGCCAGGCUUCUCCUGGUGCCCCAAGUGAGGCUGACGAAAGCUCAUUACACUCAGUAUAAGCAAACUAGAAAAAGCUGCCCUCCCUUCUGGUGUGUCUCAGGAUAACCAACCGCAGGACCCCACGACAGAUGUGCUAAGUCUGAGAAGCUGUGACACAGAUUCUGACGCCAGCCCUCAGUACAUCCCUGGUGCUCCCCACGUGGUGUGUGCAGCUCGGUCCCGAAUGCCAAGGCUGAUAGUUCACCGGCAAAGUGAGUCUCAGGUUGUAACGAGAGCGAGGGAGAGAGAUGUGACCCCAGAGAGAAACAAAAUAAUUCAUGGGGAUGAAAUCUGGGCUUGGGGGCAAAAAGGAAACGUUUAAAUCUGUACCUUGUGAAAGAAGAACACCCCACCCCCACUCCACCACCACCAAAUUGUGUAUGUAAGGUACUGUAGAUUGAACUCUGGACCUCACACGUUCUGGAAAGUGCUCUCCCACUGAGCCAUUCCCCAAGCCCCUCACUGGGGAAUUGUAGUCAGGCACUCUACUGCUGAGGAAUGUCCCCAGCUCUCCUUUGACUUGAUUUUUGAGACAAGGUCUUACUGGAUUGCCUAGGCUGGCCUGAAUCUCACUCUGUAGCCCAGGCUGGCCUUGGACUCAUAUUCUUCCUCCUGCUUAGGCUGCCGAGCCACUGAGAUCAUAGACUUGCCUCGUUAUACCAAGCUACUGCUAGUGCUAAUACCUUUAAACCACUCUUCCCUGAGCCCAGAAAGCUUCCCUAGAGAGAUCAUAACUUAGUAUUCUCUUAAAACCAAAGAAGAGAACAGCAGCUUUUCCCUGUUCCUCCACAUGAGGGCGCUACACCACUCAGCCAUGGGGUGAUGUGUUGAAGCCUCUCCCACAACAACCUUUACGGGUGCAUUUCUUUUCUGUGUGCUCUCUGAUGAGAAGCCCUGGGCCACCUCUGCAUGGUUUUUCUUGCCAGUUUCUCUUAUAGCUCUCUCUCGGAGCACACAGCCACAUUCAGCACCCCGCCCACUUGGGCAUUGCCAUGGCUGUUCCUUGUGACUGAUUUAGCGGCCAGAUGACUUAGCUGAUACCGGCUGCAGUGAAUGAGCUGAUACUGUCUGUAGGUUAGGAUUCUGACCAAAGGGUCUUCGAGGCACUAGAGAAAGGGUUUUAUUGACACACCUUCACAAGCGUAGGCUUUCCUCCAGUGUGAAUUCUCUGACGUUGAAUGAGUUUUGUGAUCCUGCAAGCCCUCACGCGGUCACUAUUGUUGGUAGAUUUCUGUUGCACGGGAAGUAGCCGGGUGUGUGGGACGCUGGCCGACGCCUCCCGCGCCCAAGCUGAAUGGUGCAGCAGUGUUAGGAGGUCGGGAGCCUCUAGGAAACUGCUUUGUAGUCACAACAGUCGAUGGUGCUCCUGCUGGUACAGUGCUGUAGUGUCAAAUAAACUUAAUCCGGACUCA